CUCCAAUAUUGAUCCUAGUUUGAGCACGUUUCUGCUCGUGGAGCUUAUUAGAAACAUGCAGAGGCUUUUUAGGUCGGGUACAAUCACUUCUAUCUGAACCAGUUCUCUGUCCCACUUCCAUCACUGCAACACCUGUUGACCUGAUAACUGCUCUCAUAUCUGACAAACCGAGGGGCGUCCAAAACGGCCGUGUGGGGGUUCCUUAAAACCGCCUACCUUCUCUGGUCCAAACAAAUCCAGAGCAUUCAGGAGCAGAAUCUAAAGUUAGAAGGAGGACAUACUGGCUGCUGCAUUGUUGUCAGAGAAGCCAGCACUUCAACACAGCAUGUUUCCUUAAUGUCUGAUCAUAUAGUAAGAUCACUUUAUCAUUUCACUCUCUACACAUCUUACAUGUUGGACAUUUAAAGAAUCUGAAGACAGGAGUGUACAUUUUAAGUUUGUUAGUCCCUCAAGUUGAAACAUGUUGAGAAAAAUUGAUUUAAAAAGAAAAGUCUAAAUAACUUUGACAAAAAAAAUCUUUACAAACAUGUUAUCAAAGAAACAUUUAUUUACUAACUGAUUUCAUUCGUUAUCAUUUCGACUUUGGAUUUUUACAGCACUUAAAACAUUUCAGCUUUUCUUUUCCAUUGUUUCAAAAGUUUUGUUUUUGAACAUUCACAGCACUUUGACUCCGGCUGAGUUUCUAAAUCUUUUACUUUAUCAGUAUUUUGAAUUGUCAGGUAUUUGAGAAUCAUUCUGAGGAGUCUUUGGUUUAUGCAGCGAGCUCAAUGACUUUAAUGUUUCCUGUUUGUCUCAUGAAGAUUUAAAUAUUGUGACCAAAACGAGGCUGAUUGUCCAAAAAGUGGAAGAUUUGUUUGUCAGGACAAAGUGAUUUACAGUUGAAACGGUUUGUUUGUUGACUCGACUAAAUCAUGAACAAGUAGUUUGCACAUUUUCUGUUAGAGGGACGUUAAACUGCAAAGACGUUCUCACAAACAAAGAGAUCUCUUUUUAUUGAACUGAA